CUAUGCUCAAAAUACAUAUUUAUUGUACUGUAAAUCUGCAAAUCUAUUAAAUUGGAGAAUUAUUCAUUUAUUCAAAAUUAAGGAACUAUGGCUUGCAAUGUUGACUUAGAAAGGGAAAAGGAGCAAAU